UAUAUGUGGAAAAAAUGCUAAGCCAAAACAUAUUGUGAAAUGUGUUCUGGCUCUAGAAAAGCCUUGUUAUUGCAAAUCAAGGAAGGAACAAAUCAGAAUAUGUCAUGAUAAUUUUACUAGACUGUUCUCUCGAAAAAUUCACUAAUAUGAUUGAUAAUUAAAAUGAAGAAAAAUGCCACUUUUAUCACCCGUAUCCCGGAUUUUGAGACCACGAGAGCAUAGAUGAUAUGGAGUGAAGGCAUCUGGUAUGGAUGUGAAGGCAGUGAGGGUAAUUUUCUGAACAAAGCUACUGCAGGGCUCUUUCCUUCAUUACAUGCUUCCUUUUACCAGGAACAUGGACCGUCGUAAUGUCACCUUUUUAAUCUAUGAAAGUUACGUCGAAUUCAAGUUCUUUUUCUUCUUCUUGAGACAAUCACUUCAUUAGUUUCUCAACUUUGUUAUUGUCAGGCCUGCAUUUGAAUACAUUAAAUGCUGAAAUGCUGAAAUGUGGAUUGGAUUUUCCUUGUGGAUUGGUAAACAAAGGAUUUGCAGCAGAUGAGCUCCUCCUGUGCUGAUAUCAUGAGCAAUGUCAGCCCUGCAGAAAUAAGAGAAUUUGAAGGGCACAGCAUAUGCAAACAGAUUAUAUGACCGAAAGCAGGCCUAGCCAACAGAUCUUCUAUGAAGUCGAAAAACUUGAAUGCUGAUAUUUGGACUGGAUUUCCCUCGCAAUCAAAGCAGGGACUUACGCUGAAAUGCUGAUAGACCAGGUCCGCCAUAUCCCGCAUAAUCAAAGGAUUUGCAA